rnacentral:rRNA from 1 species
GAAGGACGUGCUAAUCUGCGAAAAGCGUCGGUAAGGUGAUAUGAACCGUUAUAACCGGCGAUGUCCGAAUGGGGAAACCCAGUGUGAUUCGUCACACUAUCGUUAACUGAAUACAUAGGUUAACGAGGCGAACCGGGGGAACUGAAACAUCUAAGUACCCCGAGGAAAAGAAAUCAACCGAGAUUCCCCCAGUAGCGGCGAGCGAACGGGGAGCAGCCCAGAGUCUGAAUCAGCUUGUGUGUUAGUGGAACGGUCUGGAAAGUCCGACGGUACAGGGUGAUAGUCCCGUACACCAAAAUGCACAGGCUGUGAACUCGAAGAGUAGGGCGGGACACGUGGUAUCCUGUCUGAAUAUGGGGGGACCAUCCUCCAAGGCUAAAUACUCCUGACUGACCGAUAGUGAACCAGUACCGUGAGGGAAAGGCGAAAAGAACCCCGGCGAGGGGAGUGAAAAAGAACCUGAAACCGUGUACGUACAAGCAGUGGGAGCACCUUCGGGUGUGACUGCGUACCUUUUGUAUAAUGGGUCAGCGACUUAUAUUCUGUAGCAAGGUUAACCGUAUAGGGGAGCCGCAGGGAAACCGAGUCUUAACUGGGCGUUAAGUUGCAGGGUAUAGACCCGAAACCCGGUGAUCUAGCCAUGGGCAGGUUGAAGGUUGGGUAACACUAACUGGAGGACCGAACCGACUAAUGUUGAAAAAUUAGCGGAUGACUUGUGGCUGGGGGUGAAAGGCCAAUCAAACCGGGAGAUAGCUGGUUCUCCCCGAAAGCUAUUUAGGUAGCGCCUCGUGAACUCAUCUUCGGGGGUAGAGCACUGUUUCGGCUAGGGGGUCAUCCCGACUUACCAACCCGAUGCAAACUACGAAUACCGAAGAAUGUUAUCACGGGAGACACACGGCGGGUGCUAACGUCCGUCGUGAAGAGGGAAACAACCCAGACCGCCAGCUAAGGUCCCAAAGUCAUGGUUAAGUGGGAAACGAUGUGGGAAGGCACAGACAGCCAGGAUGUUGGCUUAGAAGCAGCCAUCAUUUAAAGAAAGCGUAAUAGCUCACUGGUCGAGUCGGCCUGCGCGGAAGAUGUAACGGGGCUAAACCAUGCACCGAAGCUGCGGCAGCGACACUAUGUGUUGUUGGGUAGGGGAGCGUUCUGUAAGCCUGCGAAGGUGUGCUGUGAGGCAUGCUGGAGGUAUCAGAAGUGCGAAUGCUGACAUAAGUAACGAUAAAGCGGGUGAAAAGCCCGCUCGCCGGAAGACCAAGGGUUCCUGUCCAACGUUAAUCGGGGCAGGGUGAGUCGACCCCUAAGGCGAGGCCGAAAGGCGUAGUCGAUGGGAAACAGGUUAAUAUUCCUGUACUUGGUGUUACUGCGAAGGGGGGACGGAGAAGGCUAUGUUAGCCGGGCGACGGUUGUCCCGGUUUAAGCAUGUAGGCUGGUUGUCCAGGCAAAUCCGGAUAAUCAAGGCUGAGGUGUGAUGACGAGGCACUACGGUGCUGAAGUAACAAAUGCCCUGCUUCCAGGAAAAGCCUCUAAGCAUCAGGUAACAUCAAAUCGUACCCCAAACCGACACAGGUGGUCAGGUAGAGAAUACCAAGGCGCUUGAGAGAACUCGGGUGAAGGAACUAGGCAAAAUGGUGCCGUAACUUCGGGAGAAGGCACGCUGGUGUGUAGGUGAAGUCCCUGCGGAUGGAGCUGAGACCAGUCGAAGAUACCAGCUGGCUGCAACUGUUUAUUAAAAACACAGCACUGUGCAAACACGAAAGUGGACGUAUACGGUGUGACGCCUGCCCGGUGCCGGAAGGUUAAUUGAUGGGGUUAUCCGUAAGGAGAAGCUCUUGAUCGAAGCCCCGGUAAACGGCGGCCGUAACUAUAACGGUCCUAAGGUAGCGAAAUUCCUUGUCGGGUAAGUUCCGACCUGCACGAAUGGCGUAAUGAUGGCCAGGCUGUCUCCACCCGAGACUCAGUGAAAUUGAACUCGCUGUGAAGAUGCAGUGUACCCGCGGCAAGACGGAAAGACCCCGUGAACCUUUACUAUAGCUUGACACUGAACAUUGAGCCUUGAUGUGUAGGAUAGGUGGGAGGCUUUGAAGCGUGGACGCCAGUCUGCGUGGAGCCAACCUUGAAAUACCACCCUUUAAUGUUUGAUGUUCUAACGUUGGCCCCUUACCGGGGUUGCGGACAGUGUCUGGUGGGUAGUUUGACUGGGGCGGUCUCCUCCCAAAGCGUAACGGAGGAGCACGAAGGUUAGCUAAUCCUGGUCGGACAUCAGGAGGUUAGUGCAAUGGCAUAAGCUAGCUUGACUGCGAGCGUGACGGCGCGAGCAGGUGCGAAAGCAGGUCAUAGUGAUCCGGUGGUUCUGAAUGGAAGGGCCAUCGCUCAACGGAUAAAAGGUACUCCGGGGAUAACAGGCUGAUACCGCCCAAGAGUUCAUAUCGACGGCGGUGUUUGGCACCUCGAUGUCGGCUCAUCACAUCCUGGGGCUGAAGUAGGUCCCAAGGGUAUGGCUGUUCGCCAUUUAAAGUGGUACGCGAGCUGGGUUUAGAACGUCGUGAGACAGUUCGGUCCCUAUCUGCCGUGGGCGCUGGAGAAUUGAGGGGGGCUGCUCCUAGUACGAGAGGACCGGAGUGGACGCAUCACUGGUGUUCGGGUUGUCAUGCCAAUGGCACUGCCCGGUAGCUAAAUGCGGAAGAGAUAAGUGCUGAAAGCAUCUAAGCACGAAACUUGCCCCGAGAUGAGUUCUCCCUGAGACUUUAAGUCUCCUGAAGGAACGUUGAAGACGACGACGUUGAUAGGCCGGGUGUGUAAGCGCAGCGAUGCGUUGAGCUAACCGGUACUAAUGAACCGUGAGGCUUAACCUU